UACGUAGGGUCCGAGCGUUGUCCGGAAUUAUUGGGCGUAAAGAGCUCGUAGGCGGUUUGUCGCGUCUGCUGUGAAAACCCGAGGCUCAACCUCGGGCCUGCAGUGGGUACGGGCAGACUAGAGUUCGGUAGGGGAGACUGGAAUUCCUGGUGUAGCGGUGAAAUGCGCAGAUAUCAGGAGGAACACCGGGUGGCGAAGGCGGGUCUCUGGGCCGAUAUUGACGCUGAGGAGCGAAAGCGUGGGGAGCAAACAGG
rnacentral:rRNA from 1 species